ACGGUUGAUUGCUUAUAGUAAAUUUGCGUUUGGUUUUAAAGUGUUUUAAAAAGGUAUAAAAAAGUGUUAAAUUAAUAAAUAACAAGUGAUCCCAGGACUGUGCUUUGCAAAUUGUUCAAGAUUAAUUGUGUUAAUAGUGAAUUUACCUGUUUUCUGUGCGAAAAUGGAAGGGGUGCUCCGCUGGACAAGUGAAAAUAUGUAUGGAUGUGAGACACUUUACAAAUAUGUAUGUAUGUAAAUUUGUGUACAUGUUGUGUACAUCUGGCUGGACCUAUUGACAUCCAUACAUGUACAUAUGUAAAUAUAUGUACAUACAUACAUAUGGGAAAUCGCAUUUGCUUCGCUUUGGGAGGAAAGUCAAGAUAGCGAAUUUACCUAUUUUUGUAUGCUAAAUGCAAAGACAGCUCGGUGGGGCAAGUGGAAAUGAAAAUUUAAUGUAAAUCGGAAAUUAGACGUUUUUUGCGCGGAUGAAGGAAGGUUCAAAUAUGCUUAAAGAUGCCAAAACGAACAACAACAACCUGGAAUAAUAUGCAAAACUAAGUGCUUCCAAGUGCCCGCAAGUGGUCCAGUGGUACUCACCAUUACAUUGGUGGUAUAUGGACUUGGCCUCCAUGGAGGAUGCAGUGCAUCAUGAAGUUUUUUUUUGGGAAUCCAUAUUCUGGACUUUUGAUGACGUGUAAUGAUGGAUAUAGAUGACGAUGUAAGCAGAAAAUUCAAGGUAGGUGGCAAACUUUUCUAUAUAUUUAUUCCAUAAGACAAGGGCCAUAUUUCGCCCAUGAUCCGCAGAAUUUGCAACGGCUUGCAUGCCGCCCAUGCAAUGUGGAUUAUUUAAGAAUAAGUUAAGUUAAGCUUCCCCGGCUGGGAUCACUGCCAGAUUCAGUCCAUCGGCCCUGGAGAUCAGGUACUCCUCUGCUUUGGUUUUUCUCGUUCGUUGACUGCUGCCACUUCGGAUUUAUGGAACAUUUCUCAUGGAGAUAUUGCCAGGCUUUGAUCACUCCCAGUUCCAGUUCCAGGUCCAAUCCAUCGGUAAAAGAGACCAGAAACUCCUCUUCUCGUUUCUGGACCGCUGUCACUGGGGACUUAUGGAUCAACAUACAUGGCAGCAGAGCAGUGUGAUCACUGCCAGAUCCCGUCCAUCUGCCAUGAGGAUCGGGAAUGCCUUGCCUUAGUUUUUCUCGUUUAUGGACUGCUGCCACUUCGGACUUAUAGAGAAACACCUACGCGGAGUUACUGCCCAGCUCUAGUCCAUCGAGACCAGGAACUCCUCCUCUACUUCUGUUUUUCUGGUUCAUCGACUGGUUCCUCUUCGGACUUAUGGAGCAUCGACAUCGAGAUUGUGCUAGGCUGUGGGGAGUACCAGUUCAUUUGCCCUAGAGAGCAGGUACUGUUCUGCUUUUAAUUUCUUGGACUUAUGAACCUAGGAACACAGGAUACUUUGCCUACUAGGCCUAUGUCUGUUUACUCCGCAUUUCGGUGCUGGAAUCUGGAAACUUUAUUGGACUUAUAGAGUACACACAAUCAAUCCCAACUCCAAUCCAUCGCUAAUAGAGACCAGGAACUUUUCCUUUCGUUUAUGGAUUGCUGCCUCUUUGGACUUAUGGAGAAGCACCCACGCGGAGUUACUGUCCAGCUCCAUCGGUAAUAGAGACCAGGAACUGUUCGGUUGUGAUUACUCUCAGUCCAUCAGCCCUAGAGACCAGGAACUACUUUGCUUUUCUUUUGUCCUGACACAUGGAGAUACGACGCGAGCUAGACAAAAAUCUGCCUACUUUGCACAUUGUUUUCAUUAUCAAAAAAAAAAACUCCUCAAAAAACUGCCAUAAAAACCUUAAAGAAAUAGCAAAGUAAGUUGCUUGAACUAAUUGCUUGCCAAGCCCAGCUCGAUGUAAUAUAACAUUGGAUAUUCCUUAGAAAUUUAUUUAAAUUUCGCCUCAGCAUAG